UACGUAGGUGGCAAGCGUUGUCCGGAAUUAUUGGGCGUAAAGCGCGCGCAGGCGGUCCUUUAAGUCUGCUGUGAAAUCUCGCGGCUCAACCGCGAGCGGUCAUUGGAAACUGGGGGACUUGAGUGCAGAAGAGGAAAGUGGAAUUCCACGUGUAGCGGUGAAAUGCGUAGAGAUGUGGAGGAACACCAGUGGCGAAGGCGACUUUCUGGUCUGUAACUGACGCUGAGGCGCGAAAGCGUGGGGAGCAAACAGG
rnacentral:rRNA from 1 species